UGUAAGGUGCAUGAGUGGUGUUUGGCGCGUUGCCUCCGCGGAUUCCCCUGCCCAGGCAGCCGACCGCGGGCGCAGCGCGCGUCUCGUUCGUCCCCCACGACCCGACGGCUUGGAGGGCUCACUCGGUGCGGUCUGUGCUUCGUAGCCGGAAUGCGGCAACCUCGCGACCCUUAUAGACGGACGUCGGCUCUCCCCUCCCUCCGGGGCGGCGGCGAGCCGACCGGCUGCGGCGCCCCGUGCGUCCCUCGGCGUUGCCCUCGGCGCGCCGGGUGGCCCUCGGGGCGAUCGCGUGCUCUGCGGAUGCGGUGGAAACGGUUGAGCCCGGGGCUUUGCGCGCCCCGGCAGCUCUCAUUGCGCGUCGGCUGGCGAGGCGAGAGGCGCGGCGCGGGUCUCCGACCCCCUCCGCGUGUCCGCCGGACCUGUCGGCGCGGCGUUCGAACGACCGCCGGCGCGUUGCCCACCGCCCGACCCGCUGGCCGGGGACGGCGGGAGGCCUCGCGCGCGGCGUCGCCGGAGGACGUGCUACCUGG
rnacentral:misc_RNA from 1 species